AAAGGUCGGGUCUUAUAAUAAUUAAUACGGUCUGUCAGUGGGAGUACUUCCAAAAAGUGUAUGCUGCUGAUAAGUCAUAUGGUGAACUCAGAUUAUACGACAAAUUGACCGAAGAACAUAUCGAUGGUCCCAAUUAAGAAAGUCGAUAGUGACAUUUUAUCGAUUUUCACUUUAUUACAUCAUUAAAUUAGGUGUAAUGAGUUCUAAAAUGUGAAUAUUUUAUUUUAUUAAAAUUCAUUUAUUUUGACAGUUUUUUCAGUAUCAAAAUUGUCGAUAAUGAUCGCGCGUCCGUUUAAGAAUGUACGAUGUGGCAUUAUACGACGUGGAACCUGAUCGAGUUUCUUCUCCAGUACCAGCCAACUUUGAAAAUGAACUAAUUCAACUGCAAGAUUUGAUGGGUGAUGAUGUUAGUGAUCAGCAUUUAUCUCCACCAUCUUUUGGUGAACAUUUUACCACUACUGCUGAGGUCGAAGCAACUGGCAAUAUACCGAAACCCCCUGAAAAUAACGAAAUGACUGAAACGAUUGAUUAUGUACCAAGGACCUCUGAAAAGGCAAAUUUUGCCGAGAAGACCGAUAUUGCCGAAAUGGUUCCAGCCACUAUACCCAUCGAUGUAACACCAGUCCCAUCCCCAGUUCGUCCUCAUAACCAAAACUGUGAAUCUCGCUUUUGCCCCAUAUGUGUAGAAGACUGCAUGAUGAGCAUUGAUGACGUUUAUCAUAAUCUCCCAACACCUUCAACGAUGACAGAUGCUUCUACUGUUUUAACACCUUCUACACACAAAGUUUCUAGAAAAAAAACUUACAAAAUUGAUAUUGGCAAGAAAAGACAAAAGCACAAAGAAAAUUGGACUAUAAUACAACGGAAAAAAUUGAAGAAUGAAGGAAAAGCUUAUGAAAAUUACAAAGGAAAACAAAUAGCAGAAAAGUCACUAGGUGAAACUUGUGGAAAAACUUGCCGCUACAAGUGUACAGAAAAUAUAGAUGCAAACCAAAGAGAGAAGAUUUUUACAAAGUUCUGGAAACUGGGCGAUCGUAAAAAACACUCGGAGUUUGUGAUCAAAUAUUCUAAAAAAGUUCCUAAAGGACGUAACACUACAGAAGAAACCAAGCACAAGCGAGAAAACACUUUUGUCUACUACCUACCAAACUCAGAGAAAGAACCUAAAAGGGUUUGUAGAAAGAUGUUUUUAAGUACGAUAUCCUCUGGUGAAAAUAGUAACUACGACGUGGAAAAAGUAUGAUGGAGAAAUCGCUGUAGCUGAAGACAAACGGGGCAAAUAUGAACACAGGCCUAGAGUUAUCGAUGACAUGAUGGUACAGAGCGUGAAAGACCAUGUGAACUCGAUCGAUCGUGUUGAAUCACAUUACACGCGAAAAGACUCCAAAAAGUUAUAUUUAAAUAAUAUAACUAGUACUGCGCAGAUGUUCCGGUUGUAUGAGGAAUGGUGUUAAUGGUAUCCAGGUAAAUAUACAAACAAGGCAAAUAAACGCCAGUACCGUGAUAUCGUGAAUGCAAAUUUCAAUCUUGCUUUUCAUCUACCGAAAAAAGAUCGUGCUCUGAAAAAAGUGAACAUAAAAAUAUUUAUGUACCUGAUGAAUGGAAUGUUCUUGUGCGUUGGUCAAAGACAGAAGGAGAACCGUAUGCGGUGAAAGAAAUGAACAAGGAAGAUUUUUUUAAUUUUAAAGGACUGUUGAAUAACAAAAACUGGACAAAGGAUGAAACUAAUCAGGUGAUGAGAUGGAGUCAAAUACGUGAAGUGAAAGUGAAUAAAAGCGUCUAUGAUCGCAUAGAAUAUAAGUACGAUCUGGGUGAGGAACCUAAGCUUUUAAUUGUUUUAAGGACAGGGAAAAGAAAUAGCCAACGCACAAGGACGCAUUUUGAACUCCACCAGGCUUAUAACGAUGAAAGCAUCCCCAUUCCGUACGAAAAGUACAGAGAUCUGAACUCUAUGUGCAAUUCUCCAAAAAAAUAUCAUACGUUCUAUAAAAACUUGCCACAUGUGCCCCCCAAAGACAGGAGAGUCACAAGGCAAGCCAGUGAUGAUGAUGAUAGUGAUAUUGACUAAUAGUUAUUAGUUAGCAUAAACAGGUUAGUAUAAUAUAUUAUACUAACCUGUAAUAUAUUGCACAUAGAGUUCAGAUCUCUGUACUUUUUUUUCCUUAUUUUAUAUUUUGGUACAAGCUUUUAUGAUACUAUUAUAAAAAUGUUUAUGUUAUUAUUAUAAAACGUGAUUUUGUUACCUAAGCUAUUAAGCACUUAACCAAGAUGAAACUGUAAGACUGAUUAAUCCUAUAUUUAUGAUAGAUGGAAAGAUUGAAGUGCCAAAUUUAGUUUUUAGUUUUUAGAUACAUCUAAAAGAUGUCACAUGACUAAUUUUAAUCUAUAGUUCUAACGGAAUGGUCAUUAUUUUAAUGUGUAAGAAUACUCUUUUUUUAAUAGUUUUAAUAAUAAUUUAGCCAAAUAAAGCUUUAAAUAGGCGUAAUCUUUAUACCAACCUACCGAAUAUUGUUGUAAGUAGUUAAUUUUUAGGUGUUUUUUUAUGUCACAUAAACAAAUAUGUAUAACAUUAUGUUUGUUGAUUAAUACAUGUUCGAUUUUUA